rnacentral:rRNA from 1 species
UACGUAGGCAGCAAGCGUUGUUCGGAAUUACUGGGCGUAAAGGGCUCGUAGGCGGCCAACUAAGUCACACGUGAAAUCCCCAGGCUUAACCUGGGAACUGCGUGUGAUACUGGAUGGCUUGAAUCCGGGAGAGGGAUGCGGAAUUCCAGGUGUAGCGGUGAAAUGCGUAGAUAUCUGGAGGAACACCGGUGGCGAAGGCGGCAUCCUGGACCGGUAUUGACGCUGAUGAGCGAAAGCCAGGGGAGCAAACGGG